GUGGGGAAUUUUGGACAAUGGGCGCAAGCCUGAUCCAGCAAUGCCGCGUGCAGGAAGAAGGCCUUCGGGUUGUAAACUGCUUUUGUACGGAACGAAACGGUCCGGGUUAAUACCCUGGGCUAAUGACGGUACCGUAAGAAUAAGCACCGACUAACUACGUGCCAGCAGCCGCGGUAAUACGUAGGGUGCAAGCGUUAAUCGGAAUUACUGGACGUAAAGCGUGCGCAGGCGGUUUUGUAAGACAGGCGUGAAAUCCCCGGGCUCAACCUGGGAAUUGCGCUUGUGACUGCAAGGCUGGAGUGCGGCAGAGGGGGAUGGAAUUCCGCGUGUAGCAGUGAAAUGCGUAGAUAUGCGGAGGAACACCGAUGGCGAAGGCAAUCCCCUGGGCCUGCACUGACGCUCAUGCACGAAAGCGUGGGGAGCAAACAGGAUUAGAUACCCCGGUAGUCC
rnacentral:rRNA from 1 species